GAUGAACGCUAGCGGCAGGCUUAACACAUGCAAGUCGAGGGGUAUAGGGAGCUUGCUUCCUAGAGACCGGCGCACGGGUGCGUAACGCGUAUGCAAUCUACCUUUUGCAGAGGGAUAGCCCAGAGAAAUUUGGAUUAAUACCUCAUAGUAUAGCAGUUUCGCAUGAAACCACUAUUAAAGUCACAACGGCAAAAGAUGAGCAUGCGUCCCAUUAGCUUGUUGGUAAGGUAACGGCUUACCAAGGCAACGAUGGGUAGGGGUCCUGAGAGGGAGAUCCCCCCACACUGGUACUGAGACACGGACCAGACUCCUACGGGAGGCAGCAGUGAGGAAUAUUGGACAAUGGGCGCAAGCCUGAUCCAGCCAUGCCGCGUGCAGGAUGACGGUCCUAUGGAUUGUAAACUGCUUUUGUACAGGAAGAAACACUGGUUCGUGAACCGGCUUGACGGUACUGUAAGAAUAAGGAUCGGCUAACUCCGUGCCAG
rnacentral:rRNA from 1 species